rnacentral:rRNA from 1 species
AUGGACAAAGGCGCCGGGCUCAAACUGGGCGAGGACCAGUCGCUCUCUCCGGGGAGUGAAGCGCCAGACGGUUGGGUAAUGUACUUUGACAGAGCAUUCACACGGCAGGGCACGGUGGCUAGCGUGGUGCUCACAUCCCCCACUCAGGACAAGCUUUACUACGCCGUGCAGCUCUGCUUCCAGCGUGGGGAGAAAGUUUCCAACAACAUAGCAGAGUACGAGGGCCUGAUAGCGGGCCUGAGGGUAGCCAUCGCAUUGGGAGUGAAACGAAUCACCGUCAAGGGCGACUCACAACUCCUCGUCAACUUCUCCAACAAGGUGUACGAGUCGAAGGAUGAGCACAUGGAAGCAUACCUCGAGGAGGUCCGCAAGAUGGAGAAACAGUUUUGGGGGUUGGAGUUGCAGCAUGUGCCUCACGGUACCAAUCAAGAGGCUGACGACAUCGCCAAGAGGGCAUCCAGGCGGCUGCCUCAGGAGCUUGGCGUCUUCGAGGAGUGA